CGCACCUCUUCAGAUCAAUCUUGCGCAAGAAGGAGUACCUGAAAUCCUCUCAGGCGCGUCCUUUCAGCUUUCAACACAAAUCAGUAUUCCACCUCAGUUAGGUCCUAUGCAGAAGGAGGAAACUGAAACUCCUUUCAUCCUUCCAAUGCAAACAGUCCAUGCCCAAGAGGAACAAAUGGUAGUCCAAUGGCCCAAACCAAAGGAGCAUGCAGGUCAAUGCUUGCCCAAACCUCUAGAUAAGGAAGAAUUUGUUUUGCCUGAACUUAAUGCCAAAUUGCAGCCACCCAUGGAGAAAUAUCAAUUGAAGUUGGAAGUGCUAAAAAAUGCAAACAUAAGGGCUAGAGGCACACCUCAUCUGAAAGAAGAGAAGCUAAUCAUGUUACUUCAUGAGUACAUGGAAAAAGUAGGAUGGGCUAUGAAAAAAUCAAAAGGAG
rnacentral:lncRNA from 1 species